CUAGCUUACGUGGAGGCGCUGGUGGGAUACUACCCUAGCUGUGUUGGCUUUCUAACCCGCACCACUUAUCGUGGUGGGAGACAGUGUCAGGCGGGCAGUUUGACUGGGGCGGUCGCCUCCUAAAAGGGAACGGAGGCGCUCAAAGGUUCCCUCAGAAUGGUUGGAAAUCAUUCAUAGAGUGUAAAGGCAUAAGGGAGCUUGACUGCGAGACCUACAA
rnacentral:rRNA from 1 species